rnacentral:rRNA from 1 species
GAUGAACGCUGGCGGCGUGCUUAACACAUGCAAGUCGAACGGGAUCCCUGGCAGCUUGCUGUCGGGGUGAGAGUGGCGAACGGGUGAGUAAUGCGUGACCAACCUGCCCUGUGCACCGGAAUAGCUCCUGGAAACGGGUGGUAAUACCGGAUGCUCCGCUCCAUCGCAUGGUGGGGUGGGAAAUGCUUUUGCGGCAUGGGAUGGGGUCGCGUCCUAUCAGCUUGUUGGCGGGGUGAUGGCCCACCAAGGCGUUGACGGGUACCCGGCCUGAGAGGGUGACCGGCCACAUUGGGACUGAGAUACGGCCCAGACUCCUACGGGAGGCAGCAGUGGGGAAUAUUGCACAAUGGGCGCAAGCCUGAUGCAGCGACGCCGCGUGCGGGAUGGAGGCCUUCGGGUUGUAAACCGCUUUUGUUCAAGGGCAAGGCACGGUUUCGGCCGUGUUGAGUGGAUUGUUCGAAUAAGCACCGGCUAACUACGUGCCAGCAGCCGCGGUAAUACGUAGGGUGCGAGCGUUAUCCGGAUUUAUUGGGCGUAAAGGGCUCGUAGGCGGUUCGUCGCGUCCGGUGUGAAAGUCCAUCGCCUAACGGUGGAUCUGCGCCGGGUACGGGCGGGCUGGAGUGCGGUAGGGGAGACUGGAAUUCCCGGCGUAACGGUGGAAUGUGUAGAUAUCGGGAAGAACACCAAUGGCGAAGGCAGGUCUCUGGGCCGUCACUGACGCUGAGGAGCGAAAGCGUGGGGAGCGAACAGGAUUAGAUACCCUGGUAGUCCACGCCGUAAACGGUGGAUGCUGGAUGUGGGGCCCUUUCCACGGGUCCCGUGUCGGAGCCAACGCGUUAAGCAUCCCGCCUGGGGAGUACGGCCGCAAGGCUAAAACUCAAAGAAAUUGACGGGGGCCCGCACAAGCGGCGGAGCAUGCGGAUUAAUUCGAUGCAACGCGAAGAACCUUACCUGGGCUUGACAUGUGCCGGAUCGCCGUGGAGACACGGUUUCCCUUCGGGGCCGGUUCACAGGUGGUGCAUGGUCGUCGUCAGCUCGUGUCGUGAGAUGUUGGGUUAAGUCCCGCAACGAGCGCAACCCUCGCCGCAUGUUGCCAGCGGGUGAUGCCGGGAACUCAUGUGGGACCGCCGGGGUCAACUCGU